rnacentral:rRNA from 1 species
CCUCCUCUCACGAAACAGAUCUCUAGCGCCUCACGUCCACCCACCCUAUCUCUGGCCACCGAAGCCCAUCCUCUCUCCCGCCGGCGAAACACUCCCACUGCUCCAGCCGAACACAGUCCCAAUCUCGACACCCAAAGGAGCACCACAACGUGAGAGGACGAAUCGAGCCCAUCCUCUCCGCCAUGGUCAACGGCCCACCGCCCAUGAUGGCACUGAUGCCCCCAAUUCCCCAUGCCAACGCGUGCGAGGCGCGCCAUUGGAUCGAUGACGCGCGUGCUAUAUGCGUGUGCGCAUGCGCCUGAGGGCGCCGUGCAGGAGCUCCCCCUUCUCCUCCCUUUUCCUCUCUCCCCCUGCGCACAGUGGAGCUUGAGCUGGGCGGUACACUGAGCAGGAGUUUUUGGGGGCAGAGGAAGAAGACGUUCAAGUAGAAGGCGUGGACGUUGGGGAGUAGCUACGUGGAAGGAGGGCGUGAACGGUGGGAUGGGCGCUGGCUGGCUGGUGAGUGCGUCAAGGUUUCUCUAAUGUUGUUAAUUUUGUUGCUCUGCCCUGAUAUACUACUAUUUGAGCAUAUACCGAAAAAGGUUUCCCCCGCUUUGUUUUCCAAACCAACCAACACCGAGUACAGAGAUCGCUGUGGCGAGCAGCACAACACACCAAAAGAAAAAGAAAAAGAAACAAAUGCCAACCACGGCAGCUCGGCAAAGCGCGGAUGACCCGCCACCGCGGCGCCCACCGGAUACAGACCACCACAGACCGAGGCUUUGAACCACCGCGUACCAAGCAGCACCUCCAAGAAGGGAUGCGACACCGACGACGCUGCUGCCCAGACGAUUCCUAGGGUUUCCCCCGGCACGCGGAAGGAGGUGGGGGAUGGAUACCACCGACACUCUCCAGGAAGGAAUGGUGGCACCCGCAGGUGUCACCGCGUCGGGGCCGAAGCCGGCAGGGAUUUCUCCCGCAAUCCAACCCCAACCGCCCAACUGGACGGAACCGACCCGCUAAACCGUCACAUACCACCAUGCGCCAACGCAGUAGCGCCUCCACCCACGCCGCCUCACUACGAACACCACCACGUGGCCAAGAGGACCGGAGAGAAGCGCGCCACGAUGGGAGCAGCAACACCAACGCCGAGCGGGAGGGAAUCACCUCCACCGCCGUCGUGCGGGAGGCCCGUGCCUCCGGCACCGUCGCGGUAGCCGUCCGGACGCGGCCGUGGGGCAUGCUGGGCCACCCCUAGCCCAGCCAGGCCCGACGCGGGCCCGUUAAGCCCCACCGGCCACGAUGCAGCAGGCCGACGUCGGCGCCGCCAGCACCCAGCCGCUCGUCGCUUCUCCCCCGCCUCCCAGAAGCCACGCCGGAGACCAUCCCCGCCGCCGGCCCGCCCAGGCCCAGAUAGGGCCCGAAGGGCCCAGAUCUGGGCCGAGCGGACGACGCUAGAUCCCGCCGCCGUGCCGCCCCGCCGCCAACGGCGGCGCCGCCGCCCAGCUGCUCGCCUGCACACGCCAUGGAACCCCGCCGCCACGCCAGACCGCCGUCGCCUAAGUGCACCCCCCGGAGCAGCUCCGCCCGCGCCAGAGAGCUACCGGGAGGGGAAGGGCAAGGAGGCCGCCGCCACCAGCAGCACCGGGGCCAAGCCGGCCGCCGGCGCCGGCGACGGCGGCGGGAAGGGAGGAGGAAGGGGGGACCUGGAGGGAGGAGACCGGUCGCGCGGCCGGUCGCCCACGGGCGACGCGGUCGCGAGAGAGAGGAUAUCCCUAUUUGAGCAUAUAUAAAGAGAUCAUAGAGGAAAGCAGCAGUAGGCUGCUGCGGUUUUGUUCAUGGUGCUACUGGUUUUGUUAAUGUUGGUAUUUGCUUACUGUUUACGACUGCUGCUACUAUGUACUCACUUUAUGAUAUGAAGAUAUGUAUGCUGUUGGUGAAAAGGGAUCGGUGCUAUAGCGGUAGGCGUCUGGUGGCUAUGCAGUGGCAUCCGCUACUUAGAUACGUAGCCGGCAACGGUGAGAAGACUUUGAUCUUGAUAUAUUAGAUGUAAGCCUCAUACACCAUAGGAGGUCCUCCUUUUGGUGAUAUCGGCUGGUGAGCUUUCUCCAUCUUCACCCUCUAACACACAUUGGUUCUGCAUUAUGUAUAUGUGGCUUUGAUAAGAAAGGAAUGUUUCUAUCUGAAUAUUACCCAGUUAUUCUUUCUUUGUCUAAAUUGAUUUAGUAGAAGAGAUAGAGAGAAGCAAUUUACUGGUGUGGUUCAUUUGGGAAAUUUAGUACUUUGUUAUACUGCUUUGUUUUAGGGGAUGAAGUAAAUAGAACAAGAUAUUCCUGGGAUGGAUCUAUAUGUGCUCGUUAUGAUGUCAUGUAAAUUCCACAACACAUUUGUAUGCGUGUAUCCUUCUUAUAGUUAUAGUCAUGCUUGACAGCCUGCAGGCUGAGGCUAACAAUUCUUUUCGUCUCUAUUCCCCUUAUUUCAGUGCAUUGUGCUACUGUAUACUACUGUUACAAUGACAUGUGCAUUUAGUAAAAUCCCUUAAUUAUGGCAGCAUGUAAAAAAUAAAUGUUUCCUGAGUGCGGACUGUGGUAUAGAUUCGUGCAAGUUCUGAAACCUGCAAGUACCGAAUUACAUAAUAAUUUUGUAGGAUGAUAAAAAAGAAGAAGGUGAUGAUUCAGUUAUCAAGAGGAUGUGUGAACUCUGAACCUGAAGGACAGGAAAUAAAACAUGAGGAGGUAAUGGAGGAGAAGAAGAAGCAGACAUUAGGAUAAUAAUGAAAGAGAAUGAGUAGAUAAUAAGAAUGGUAUUGAAAGAGAAGACGAGAUGCACCUUGGCUAAGUAAAGAGCUAGACCUGAAAUUGCCAAUAAAGGGAAUGAGGUCCUUUUCUCUAUUGGUGCCAUCUUAGCUGCCGAUUGCCGUCGGUUAGGUGCAUAUUUCAUGAGAUAAUCUCGUUCUAACAUGUCUCUGAUUUUGAUUUUUUUCUGCGGAUUUCAGAAUAUAGAAGGCAGCUUCGCAGAGGGGUCACUGACGAGUAAGUGAAAUAAGUCCUCGAGCAGGUUUCAGUGAAGACUACUGAUCUAGAAGUGCCGUAUGUUCAUGAACAAUUUUCUGCUGCUGAAAUAAGUCCAGAGCAGGCUUCAGUGAGGACUACUGAUCUAGAAGCUGUAUGUUCAUGAACAAUUUUCUAUUGCUCUGACUGAACGGAUUGUCUCUGUAAUUCUUGUAUGUUUGGGUGGUGCCCAGCUACCAAUAGAAGACAAGCCGUCUUCUUGCUGAACAACGCCACAAUUGUAUAGUUGUAUGUUAUUUAGGAUUGUCUCUGUUGCAUACGACCUGGGGUUACAAGAGGUCCGGUACUAAUUUUGUGUAUGUAUCUCUUCUAUAUACACAUGAUUUCAAAGCAUAUUUUAUAGUACAUUUUGUUUCUUUGCUUG